AUGACGCUGCGUCGAAGGCGUGUGGGUGGCGCCCGGCCGGAGGGGCCGAGAGGCGGGGGCGGCGCGGGGCGGGAGGAGGCAGAGGGCAGGGCAACACCCCUCCGCCCCCUCCCCCGCGCCUCUAUUCUCCCCCUCCCGACACCCCCUACCUUCCUCUCCUCCCUCCCCGCCCCCACAACUGGGCUGGUCCUCCUCCAUCCACUCCUCCCCCCAUUCACUCCUCCCCUCAAGCCCUCUCACCUCCCCUUCCCUCCCCCAUCCACUCCUCCCCACAUCCCCUCACCUCCCUGUCCCUCCCCGUGCCCCAAUCCCCGCAAACCUGGGCUGCUCCUGCCCCUUCCACGCCUUCCUGCUCCCUCCCUCCCUGUCCCCUUCCCCUCCUCCCCACCCCCAUCUCCCCUUUACCCUCUUUCUUCCCAAACCCCUCUUCCUUCCUCUCCUUCCCCACAGGCCACUUCUCCUUUCCCCCUCCUGGCCCCCUGUCUCCUCCUCCCAUCCCCCACCCCGGCUUUAGUCUCCCAUCCCCCCUACACCCCCUUGCCUCUGCCUCCUCACAGCCCCCUACUUAUCCUAUUGCCUCCCUCCUGGGGCCCCUUCAGAUCCCUAGGGCCUCUUUGUCUCUCUCUGUUUUCUCCCAUUCCAGCCCCUGAUGACCAGGCCCCGCACCUCUGCUGGGGUCUGCCGCACACAGUAAGCUGCCUGGGAGUCCUCAUUGCCUUCCUGGGCAACCCAGCUAAAGGCCGCCCAGCAGCUGCAGCCCUGGAGGUCAGCGCAGCCCUGGCUGACGUCAGGGGCCCCUCCUCACCGCCCACCUCUGCACCUUCCCCAUCCCUUUGCCUGGUGUCCGGGAAAGGCCCCGUAGGAUGGCAUUCCUUUCCCAGGGUCUCCCUCAGGAAAGAUGAGAGGAAGCAAAAGCUCAGUCUGCACACAGGGCUGGUCCUCCCGACGGCCACAUCCGCAGGGAUGACCCUCAGAGGUGCUCCCAACUGGCUGGGAGGUUCCUCCACCUGGGCGCUCUGCUACCCAGCCGGGUCAAGGACAAACAGCCAUGUACAAAAUGGCAAGAGGCGGACCUUCCAGAGCAUGUAUAUGUGCAUAUUCACUCCUUCAAACCUCACAACUCCAUCAGCCAGGCACUUUUAUUAUCCCCAUAUUACAGAUGACAAAUCUGAGACCAAAGAUGAAUCAGCUUGGCAGUGUUCACAGAGCCAGCCUGUGGAAAAGCCAGAAUCCAGAAUCCAGUCCCAGGCCCUGCCUGCAGCAUCCCGGCUCUUACUGACACCUAAACGGCCACUGCCUCUUGGCUUAGUGCUCUUCCUUCUAAAAAUGACUCCACACCCACGGAAGGAGAGGGGGAUGAAGAAACCUGCCAGGAAGGUGCCUCCCGCCAGUAUCUGAUGAAGGUAAGAGGUAAGAGGCUGCCCGUUUACUGCUUGUGCCUUCCAGGGAAGUUUCUUCCCCAGGGUUACCACCCGUUUCAGGAGGCGUCUCUGGGCUAGGCUUCCUGGCAGCAGAGGCUCUCUGGCAUUGGGGCUGCUGAGGGUAUGUAGUGAAGGCCCUUGGCUUGGAAAUCUUCACCUUAGACUCAUUAAGAAUUUUUUCCAAGGAAUCCUCAUCGGGUGUGUUCCAAUGGCUCCCACCAGAUCCCAAUCAGGCCCAAACUUUUUUGCCAGUCCUCUCAAUCCAGACCCACUGAGCUCCAGUUACAUAGAACCACCUGCGAUUUCCUUGAACAUGUUAUGCAUUUUCAUGCUUCUGUGACUACUUUGCAUAUGCUGGUUCCUUUGCCUGGAGUGCCUCCUGUCACUUCUCUUCUUAAAGAACUCCUAUUCAUCCUUCAAGACCCUACUCAAAAGUCAGGUUCUUUUUCAAAGCCUCGCUUGACUUCCCAGACAGGGUUGGAUGCUCUGUGCUCCAGGUACAGGGUUCCUUCCCUGGCUCCUCUCGGAUUAGGGUAAUUAUUAGCAUUUGCAUGUUUAUCUUCCUUCUAGUUCCUCCAGAGCAGGGCCUGUCACUCACCUUGCAAAUGUGUACAGCACAGUGCCAGGCCCUAGUCAUUCCUCAGCCAAUAUUUGUGGAAGGAUAAACGCAAUUUCUUCUGGAU
rnacentral:lncRNA from 1 species